UUGUGUUCAGUUUGUGUUCAGUUUGUGUUCUGAAUCGUGUCCUAGUGCUUUUAUUCUGCACUUCCGGCUUUGUUUCUGUUCAUCAGAGCAAGUGGUUAUAGUUUAUCGUCCAGCCAUGCAGUCCUGCAGCGUUCACCACUGUGUCCUGCUCUUACUCACCCUCACAUUCACCACUGCAUAACCAACCUACAUGAAACUACAUUGCUUCUUUUAAUCGCACGCAGAUGCAAACAUCUACAGCCUUCAAGGUGACCACUGUCUGUCAACGUUCAUUCUGACUUCCUGCCCCAUUCUGACUUCCUUCCCCAUUCUGACUUCCUGCCACAAUCUGACUUCCUGCCCCAUUCUGAUCCCCUUCACGUGCACCUGCAUGUUCAGUAUUUCUGUGUCUGCUGAGAUUAUAACGUUUGGAACGGGUUACUGUGGGACACAAAUAUCUCCCUGAUGUUAAAUAUAUCUAGUAUAAUGUUCUAGCUGAGUGAAGCACACGCUGAUCCACUUUAUUUCACAUUAAUGAUCUCAAAAUGUUCUCCAUUUCCACUGUACACCUGCAGCCUGAACUUGUGAGGUUGAGAAAUAACGUUGAAAUAUUACCUGAUGAAUAAUGAAGAUGGGAUUUUAACAGCUGAAUAUUUUGGAACUGUAUUUUAGGAAGGUGAGUGUGUGUGUGUGUGUGUGUGUGUGUGUGUGUGUGUGUGUGUGUGUGUGUGUGUUGAAUUACGAAUGCUGGAAUUUUAUUUUCAAUCAAAAUAAACAAACCUAAUGAGCUGCAGAGGAAACUAAUUCAAGUAUUAUUACGAUAUGUUUUUAUUCAGUUUAUGUAAUUCAACAUGCCGUUUUGCCUUGAGGACAUGUGGCACUGUUAUACUUCCAUAAUUUGUAGGAUUUAUAUGAAAUGAUCUUCGUAACCAGCAGAUGAACUGAUUCGGUUCAGAUUAGAGAGAUCAGAAAACAGCUGCACAGAUCAUUCCACAGUCACAUGUCCAUGUGCUCCUCUGAGGUUCCUCUGUGGUUCCUGGGGAGAGAACACUGCUCUUUUGGUGGAGUUUUGAGAGAGGACCUGUACUAGCGUACUCUGAUGGGUUUUGUGGAGCUCCUACACUAAAUGUUGUGAUGCAGAUGUGCUUCUAGAAUAUCAUGUGUAAUAAAUAUCAGGGGAUAUGGUGUCAGUGGAACAUCAUGUACAGCUGAUUAAACUGGUCCAUACCACUGCAGACUGGUAGAUCGAGUAGAUAUAGGAGUGAUGGAGAGAAGAUGGCCUGAGCCAGUGUUAGUGGGAUAGACUCCGGAUCCACCACAACCCUGACCAGGAAGUUCUCUAGUCCUGAUUAAUAUGGAUUCAUAUGAUUCAGUCUUUUUCUUCUGUAAUUCCACCAUAAAACUCUCCUGUUUACUUUGUGUCCUGAUCUAUAAACACCAUUUUAAUCUGAUUCCCUAAAAUCACCUAGAAAUAAAUCUAGAUUCCAAAUAACAACACUAUUAGAUUCUCAGCUAUUUAAUAAAACACAUUUAUAUCCAGAGUUAUUAAAUCAGUACAAUAUUCCACUUAAACACACUUUGCUGUGCUGAUUAAAGAUGUCAGGAUUAGUUUUAAGAGUGAAGAUCCGCGACGUCAUGACGCAAGGAACGCCCAUCGUACUGCGUAAAGGGGAGUGACGGGACACGGACAUGUUGGAGUCUCGCGAUAACAGGCUAGUGCUGCUGUUGUCCCUCUUCCUCGAUAACGACGUCUAAAUCUGUUUUUUAUUUCAUUUUUAGUGAUUUUAACUCUGCGAUUGGAAAGUUGAUGUAUUUUGUUUUUCUUAACAAAGUAUUUUAUUAUCGACAUCACAGUUAUUGUAUAGUUAUUAGAGAUUAGAGCCGGUGUUUGUGUUCUCUAAGUUUCGAGCUAGCGGAACUAACGGAGCUGCUGUGUGUGACCACUGCUGGAGAUCUGUUAUUAUUAUUAUUAUCAUUAUUAUUAUUUCCGACAUGUGGAGCUACACACUGCUGUUUGUGCUGCAGAUCUUCACCUUUGCCCCCACUGUGUCCGGUGAUGGUUCUGUAACGGCCAAACUUCAUCACCCCGUUACCCUCACCUGUAACUCCAGAUGUUCUGGUGUACUCGAAUGGAGCAAGUUUCGAACCAUUGUGGCUCGGUGUGAUCAGACCUCCUGCAGGCCAGAGAAGGGAUUUAACAUCUCUCAUGAUCAGUACCUGAAGGGGAAUCCACAUCUCACCAUCACUGCAGCUGAUUACAGUGCGAGAGGAUUGUACACGUGUCUGUGUAACGGUACAGACAUCUGUAAAGUGCGUCUCCUCAUCGAGCCUCUAGAGAUGACCCGUGUGAUUGCCCCAGGCGAGCCCAUAGACGUGCUCUUACCCCUCACUGACCUGGUGGAUGUGAGUUUUACUUCCAGUGAUGCUGUACAACCAUCAAACCUGCAGAUCUGCAGCGUGGACAAGGAGAAGAUCCAGUGCAGUCCAGAUUAUAAAGAGAGAGCGUCUCUCCUCAACACUCUUCAGAUUAAAGAUGGAGACGUCUCUGACAGUGGGAACUACACAGUACAGGAUAUAGUGAAUGACGAGACUUUAGCCAUCGUAACGGUCCAUAUGAGAGGUGAACGCGUGUCCCAGACUCGCACUCGAAGACACCGCAGUGCCCCUGGUACGUCUAUAAAUAUAUAUAUAUGAUAUUGUCUGUCCUGCAGAUUCCUCUGUUUCUUCUGUAUAUUUAGUUUUAUAUUUAUUAAAAAGAUCUGACGCUCAACUCCACACUAAACUAAAUAAUAAACUCCUGCAGAAACAGGCUUAAAACACACACACACACACACACACACACACACACACACACACACACACACACACACACAAACACACACACACACA
ensembl:lncRNA